rnacentral:rRNA from 1 species
GACGAACGCUGGCGGCGUGCCUAAUACAUGCAAGUCGAACGAACCGCGACUAAGUGCUUGCACUAAGUCAAGGUGAGUGGCGAACGGGUGAGUAACACGUGGGUAACCUACCUCAUAGUGGGGGAUAACAGUCGGAAACGACUGCUAAUACCGCAUAGGACAUAGGAUCACAUGAUCCAGUGAGGAAAGGUGGCGCAAGCUAUCGCUAAGAGAUGGACCCGCGGUGCAUUAGCUAGUUGGUAGGGUAAAGGCCUACCAAGGCGAUGAUGCAUAGCCGACCUGAGAGGGUGAUCGGCCACAUUGGGACUGAGACACGGCCCAAACCCCUACGGGAGGCAGCAGUAGGGAAUCUUCCGCAAUGGACGCAAGUCUGACGGAGCAACGCCGCGUGAGUGAAGAAGGUCUUCGGAUCGUAAAGCUCUGUUGUUAGAGAAGAACAGCGCAUAGAGUAACUGCUAUGCGUGUGACGGUAGCUAACCAGAAAGCCACGGCUAACUACGUG